rnacentral:rRNA from 1 species
AACGAACGCUGGCGGCAGGCUUAACACAUGCAAGUCGAGCGCCCCGCAAGGGGAGCGGCAGACGGGUGAGUAACGCGUGGGAAUCUACCCAUCUCUACGGAACAACGCAUGGAAACGUGUGCUAAUACCGUAUACGUCCUUCGGGAGAAAGAUUUAUCGGAGAUGGAUGAGCCCGCGUUGGAUUAGCUAGUUGGUGGGGUAAAGGCCUACCAAGGCGACGAUCCAUAGCUGGUCUGAGAGGAUGAUCAGCCACACGGGGACUGAGACACGGCCCAGACUCCUACGGGAGGCAGCAGUGGGGAAUAUUGGACAAUGGGCGCAAGCCUGAUCCAGCCAUGCCGCGUGAGUGAUGAAGGCCCUAGGGUUGUAAAGCUCUUUCACCGGUGAAGAUAAUGACGGUAACCGGAGAAGAAGCCCCGGCUAACUUCGUGCCAGCCGCCGCGGUAAAAC